rnacentral:rRNA from 1 species
UACGUAGGGUGCAAGCGUUGUCCGGAAUUACUGGGCGUAAAGAGCUCGUAGGUGGUUUGUCGCGUUGUCCGUGAAAACUCACAACUCAAUUGUGGGCGUGCGGGCGAUACGGGGCAGACUAGAGGUAUGCAGGGGAGAACGGAAUUCCUGGUGUAGCGGUGAAAUGCGCAGAUAUCAGGAGGAACACCGGUGGCGAAGGCGGGUCUCUGGGCCGAUACUGACGCUGAGGAGCGAAAGCGUGGGGAGCGAACAGG